rnacentral:lncRNA from 1 species
AAGCUCGAGAGAAGCAAAACUCGACUUGUCGCAUGCAUGCAUGCAAUCAGAAGCCCCUACCCAGGAAUGCCGCCUCUGGCGCUGGCGCCGGCGCCGGCGUGCAGCGCUGCUCGCAGAAGUUUGUGAGAACAUCAUCGCAGCGGUAGGUGACGACGGGGCCAGAGCCGACCAUGACGCAGUUCUUGCACUCCGGGUGGCACCCGUCCACCGAGACGUCAUCGCACUGGCAGUCCGGCGGCAGCUGCCUGUCACAAAAACCGCAGUUGUCGCAGCACGGCCACGACGAGCCUGGUUUCCACCCGGUGUGGCCGUACAUGUUUAGUAAAAAAUGUCAAGUGUGCAUGCAUACAUCCUUUAACAAGUGAUAUAUAUAUAUAAAAGAAACUAAACGGUGCAUGAAAGGAUUCUGGGUACCUUUGCCGAGCGGCAGAGCAGCGAGGACGCCGAGAAGAGCCAGAGUGACGACGAGUAUCAGCUGAGGCCUCAUCUUUGUUACUGUGUCCCGGCAAGAACAGGCCUGAAUUUAUGCCAAGUUUUUUGCUUGGAUUUCUUUGCUACGUGUAUGUAUAUUCUCGCGGCUAUAUGAUGUGUAUGGUCGAGGCUGGAGGUCUUGUUAUAUAUAGCAUAGCAGGGGAUGGAGGUCCAGCGUGCCUAGAGAUGUCAAUCCCCACACGAUCGAAUAUAUAAAAUUCCACUACUAGCUAGGCGGCGGCAAGUGCCACAACUUUGCACUCCCAUGCGAUGCGACACGGUCUGGAUGAGUUUCCAAGCGCGCGCACGUUCCAUUCGUAUUUUUCUCAUUCCAUCAUGCAAUGCACAUGCCACCUGCGAGGGCGAUGGACGCCACCCGUCGACCUUUCCAAAAUAUUUUGUAAAAUUUUUCAAAUUUCUUGUCACAUCGAAUCUUACGACACAUGUACAAAGCAUUAAAUAUAGAUAAAAUAAUAACUAAUUACAUAGUUUGUCUGUAAUUUGCGAGACGACGAAUCUUUUGAGCCUAGUGAGUCAAUAAUUAGAUAAUAUUUAUUAAAUAUAAACGAAAAUGCUACAAUAACAAUUUUGGCAAAAAUUUUGAGAGUUAACAAGGCCCUGCUUGGUUGACCGAGUGCAGGGAUGACGCAGUGUACAUGUGUCUGGGAUCCUUUCAUAUACAUAUAUAGAGCAUUAAUUAUAGAUAAAAAAUAACUAAAUAUAUAUUUUGUUUAUAAUUUAGGAGACGAAUCUUUUGAGUCUAGGUAGUCAAUGAUUAGAUAAGUGUUUAUUUUGUUAAAAAAUUUGGAAUUAAACAAGGCGCUGGUUGGUUGAUCGAGUGCAUCAGUGCACAUGUGUCUGGAGAUACUUCCUGGAUGUCCUCUCUAUUUGCCUAUUUGCCUAGUCAUUUCAGGUGGGAACGGGAGCCCAGCACGGUCAGCAUGCAUGUGCUCAGUCCUCGCCUUGCCACCUGGAACGAAGGCCUUGUUUAGUUUUCUCCAAAACUCAAAAACUUUUCAAGUUUUCGUGUUAUAUUGAAUUUUACGGCUGCAUUAAAUAUUAACGAAAACAAAAACUAGUUAUACAAUUUAUCUAUAAAUUACGAAACGAAUCUUUUAAGCCUAUUUAGUCUAUGAUUAGACAAUAAUUACCAAAUACAAACAAAAAUGUUACAAUAUUUUAAAUUUUUCCCCCACUCAACUGAACAAGGCCGAGCUGAUUGUUGACCGUGGAGCCAUGGAGCUGGCGUCUCAACAGUACUGUACGAAAUUAGCAGCUAUAUUUUUUUAAGAUAAAGGAUAGAAACUAUCCGGCUUCAUCUACCCAUAGGUAGAAUCAGGCCAAAUUAAUACAACGGGAGAAAAAAAGAAGAUAAAUAACGGAAAAAUUACAUCCCCAACAAGGGCUCAAGUAGUCCUAGGCAACAAACCGUCUUGAUCCAAGAUGUCAACUCCUAUGGAAUACGAUCGCCAGCGUCAAGACAAAGUCGUCGAAACACGUUUGUCACACCUUAAAAAAGAUAGUGAAAACGUUGGACACCGACCACCAUUGACGAUUGGAUGCUUCUUCCAAGGCAACAGCGCAAAGAACUUGGAACAGAGACGGACCUGCCAUCCAAACUCCAAGCAGUUAUACCAAUGAACACCUCCUCCGACAAGAACAGCACGACGGAGAGACGUGGUUCCCGGCCAUGACGAACAACCACUUCGACGACGAGCCAACACGUCGCCGCCGGCCUGGAGAAACCAGGCUAGGUUUUCACCAAGUUGUUGGACGACCACAACCGCUACAGCUCCAGCGACACCUUCAACAAGGUGAGUAGCACCGUCAGUACCACCGUCGCCGGCCCGGCGUAAUGCCAGGUAGGGUUUUCACCCAAACUGCAGCCAGACGAAGAUCGCUGCGUGCCUGGGACUGGCACCCGCCGGAUCUGGGACGCCCAUCGGAUCCCAGUGGACUCAGGGCCCCGAAUCUAGGAGGUGCACCGCCGACUUCCAGGCAGCGCCGCGCAGACGCCCACCCCGGCGCUAGCAGUAGGACCCCACUCGGAGAGAGCGGAUCCAUGUCUCCUAGCACUGGAUCUCGCCAGGCACGGGGACGUCAUCUCUCCACCUCAGGUGCCAUGGAGGCAGAUGGACAGAAAACGAAAAAGACGACGCACGAAACUGCACUACCGCCAGGAUCGACGAGAUCCAUCCCGCACGGAGGAGCUUGCAGAAUUCCUGGAGAACACCUCGCCGCCGCCAUCACAGAGGGUCGCGCGGGCCUCCCGGCGUUCCUCUCCGGCAGCAGCGAGGGGAGGGAAGACGGGGUGGGAGGGUGUGGCGGCUGCUAGGGUUUGGGAAGACGGGGUGGAAGACGAGGAAUAUAACUCUUAUAAAGCAAAACUCUAAUAUCUAUUUCUCUUGACAUCCAAUGCAUCCACCUCAGCAGUUCACUAUUAACUCCACUAUCUAUUUUUCUUAAAAUGCAAAGCGUCCACCUCAGCAGUCUACUAUCAUUCGCUACUAUAAAUUUCUCUUGACAUGCAAAAUGUCCACCACAACAAUCUACUAUCAUUUGCAUUAAAUUUUACUAGCACAAAAAUUAUGACAUCCACAUUAGUGAAACACAUCAUCCACUAUGAAUAUAAUUUCUAUGAUUAUGCUAAUAAAGGAGUUAUAUAUUUAUAUUCCUCCUUCAUGCCCGCGGCAACGCGCGGAGAAUCCUCCUAGUUUUAUAUAUAACCAUGUCAUUGUCACUUCAUUACAGAGUCUCACAUGUAAAUGAUUUUUAUUCUUUUUCUCUCGUUCUUUAUGAGCAGGCCACAAACUAUCUCGUUUUUCAGAGCGAGAUAGGUGUAGAAAUAAGAGAUAGUCUCUUCACUUUUCCAUCUUCUUUCUUUUUCACAUCAGACGAGAUAGGUAUAGAGAUAAGAGAUAGGCUCUUCUCUUUUUCAUCUUCUCGCUUUUUCACAUCAGAAAAGUGCUCACAUGAAUUGUUAUGAGCCAGUUAAUGUGGCACUGUUGGUACACCUGGAGCAGCACCAAUGGAGAGGGCAGCAAAGUGUAGCCUUUAGCUCACAUAGGAGAGCAGAGCUGGUUGGGCGAUUGGUAGCUGUGGGGUUAACUUGAGCUUCAACUUGGUGCAUGGAGAUCUCACAAAUUUUUGUCAUCCAAGGGACAUGGAUAUCAAAAAGGAUUUGCUGAUUGUUCCUAUUUUUCGAAGCAGAUAAAAUUCUACUUUCAUGAAUCUGACAGUCGAGAGUAUUGUGAGAAAAACUUGCACAGUAAGUGUAAAUCUUGCAGAUUUCCAUAUAAUGGACAACUUUACUAGUACUCUUUAACAAACGAGCAGUGUUUUCAGCUCAUAUUAAAUCAGCAUAAGAAUGAACAUAAGCUAAUUUUUUUAUGAAAUAAGCAUAAACAUAAAUCAAAUUUCAGUGAAACGAGCAGCAAGUUGUGGCAAUACAAGUACAACAAAGGUAACCAAGAUAUUGUCAUGACUCGACACGAUACCAGUGCUUUGAGCAUAUAGCAGCUUCAUCACGAAUGGCUCUUUAUUCCAGAAACAGUACUAAUAAUACACUGACGGACGACGUACAAUAGCAAGCAUCGAGCUGAGCGGCGACAUUUAUUCUAUUUCUUCUCUCAGACAAAGCUCGAGAGAAGCAAACUUGACUUGCCAUAUGGAUGCUUGUAGCAGAUUUGCAUCAGAAGCCACCACCCAGGAACGCCGCCUCCGGCGGCGGCGCCGCGUGCAGCGUUCUUGCAGAAGUUUGUGAGGAUGUCAUCGCAGCGGUAGGUAACGACGGGGCCGUGGCCGCUGCCGGGAGGAAUCCCUGCACCAACCUUGACGCAUAUCUUGCACUCCGGGUGGCACCCCUGCACCGAGACAUCCUUGCACUUGCAAUCCCGCGGGAGCCACUAGUACAGAGACAGACUAUACAGGCGGUUGGUAACCUAUUUCUACUGGCGUUUUUCAGCACCGCCUGUGCUAGAGGCCAGUAGAAAUGGGCCAAUUUCAUGGCGGUUCCUUAUGAGCCGCUUGUAGAAAACAUUUCCACAGGCGGCUCUCUUUGGUAACCGUCUGUGGAAUUUUUUUUAUAGAAAAUAUGAAAUCGCGUUUUUAAAAACAGGGAAAAAAGAUUUAAUUUUAGGGAAGGCCUACUGGCUAGUCGACCGCUUCGCAGCCCCCAAGUCGCGCAUUUUUUCACGUAAAAUCGCAUGCUACGCGGCCGCUAGUGGGAUUCGAACCUAACACCUCGCCCUCGCGCGUAACGUCCUCUACCACUCCACAUAUCACUCAGAUGUGUCUAUAUUAGAGUUUUGUUCACCAUAUAUUAUCCUAAACUCAGCAUACAUUGAUUAUUUGAGGCCUUAAACAUAUUCAAAUAGAAAAGUUGUCAACUACAAACUUUGAUAACUUUUCAAGAUCUACAACUUUUAUAUUGGUAGUUUCUCCAUCCGAUGUCAUUUAUAAAAUUUGAAUUUCAAAUUUGAGAAAUUCAAACGUUGUUUUCGACGACAAGAUGAUCUCAAAUGAAAAAAAUUAUCAACUAUAAAAUUUCAUAACUUUUUGAGAUCUACAACUUUCAUUUUGACAGUUUUUUCAAACGAGGUCAUUUAAAAAGCUCAAAAAAUUCAAUUUCAAAUUAUUUUUAUAGGCGAUUUUCUUAAGCAACCGUCUGUAGAAAUAUGAUUUUUAGUGGCGGUUCCUUAGGACAACCGCAUGUAGAAAUACAUGAUUUCUACAUGUGGUUUUCUUAAGCAACUGCCUGUAGAAAUAUAAUUUUUAGUGGCGGUUCCUUAGGAAAACCGCAUGUACAAAUGCAUGAUUUCUACAGGCGGUUUUGUUAGAAAAACCGCAUGUAAAAAUACAUCUUCACAUACGGUUGGUAGUUCUGACACCGCCCUUUUUAUACCACAGGCGCGUGAUAACUAAAACCGCCUGUGAUAUAAAAAGGGGCGUCAGCGUUGUACUAUUUUCUACUAGUGAGCUUCCUGUCACAAACACCACAUAUGUCGCAGCAUGACCACAACGACCCUUGUGUGCCACUACUACGGAACGCUCUAUCACUAUCGGUGACAUCACAGUUAGAAAUGACAGAAUCGACAGUGAUGAGUCUUCACUGUCGGUUCAAAGCUUUGAGAGGCUUCGAAUGAUUGAAAAGGGGAAGAGCCGACAGUGAUGGACAACAUCACUGCCGGUUUGUUACUAGGACCUACAGUGUUGCCUUCUUCAUCUUUCACUGUCGGUCCGACACCUGAGCUAGCAAUGAUAUUGGGAUAUCACUGACGGCUCGUGUCGCCAACUGCCAGUGAUAUCCCCUGACAGCACAAAAAGCCUGCAGGCUUCCUCUGCUUCCGCCUCACUCCCAUCACGAGAACAUAGGAGCUUGCACGUGCCAUUCCCUCCAUUGUUACGGCUGCUCUUCCCCAUGACUCUCUCUUUUGGAUUUUGAAGAAUGGCUUGAUCUUUUUACUUUAAGGUUAGUAAGGGCAUCCACUUCAUCGAUUUUGGUGCUUAAUUAUCUUAGUUUGAAGGCUACAUUGCUUGAUUCUCAUUCUAGUUCUUCCUCCAUCCGAGAGAGCAAGCCAUUGGAUUUUGUGCAAAGCUCCCAAGCAAUUUGUGAGGAAUAUAUACAUCAUCUCCAUCAUCCAUAAAAGCUACAUGUUUUUGUCUAUAUAUCAUGACCUCAUUUGAAAUCUUUGGAAAUUUCAUGGUUUGAUCAAGAUGCAUGAUUGUUAGUAUGUGAUGCUCGAAUUAGUUCAUAUUAUUUAGGAGUAGAGUAGAUUAUUUUACAAUUUUGUUAGGAGUUGACACAUUGUUUGGUGUUCAUGAUCAAGUAUCCAAUUAAUUUUGUUCAUAAUCAAGAUGAUUGACAGUGUUCGGCAAGAAGCUUAGAGUUGUCGAACAAUGGUUGAUAUUCAUAUAUCGGCCAAAGAAAAAGUAGCCAAAUGCAUGCAUCACAUUUAGAGCAAAAGCAGGCGAUGGAGUAAACAACAUUGCUCUCAUCAUUGUUAUGUCUUUCCAAACUCACAUAUAUGCUUUGUUUAAAAACAUAAGAACAUAUGUUAAUAACGAAAUAUGAUCAGUCAUUCAGCAAUAUUUUUCCUCUCAGAAUAAAUUAGUAAAGAGUAAUUUCAUUUAUGACUCUUGUAUUGUCAUGACUCGACACCAUAACACGGUGCUUUGAGCAUAGUGUGCAUCAUUCAUGGCUCUUUAUUCCAGAAACAGUACUAAUACACUGACCACGUACAAGAGCACAAACAAGCAUAUCGAGCAGAGCAGCGACAUUUAUUUUAUUUCUUACAUUAAUUUAUUUUAUUUCUUCUCUCAGACGAAGCUCGAGAGGAAGCAAACUCGAUCGACUUGUCGCAUGCAUGCCAUCAGAAGCCCCUACCCAGGAACGCCGCCUCCGGCGCCGGCGCCGGCGCCGGCGCUGGCGUGCAGCGCUGCUCGCAGAAGUUUGUGAGAACGUCAUCGCAGCGGUAGGUGACGACGGGGCCAGAGCCGACCAUGACGCAGUUCUUGCACUCCGGGUGGCACCCGUCCACCGAGACGUCAUCGCACUGGCAGUCCGGCGGCAGCUGCCUGUCACAAAAACCGCAGUUGUCGCAGCACGGCCACGACGAGCCUGGUUUCCACCCGGUGUGGCCGUACAUGUUUAGUAAAAAAUGUCAAGUGUGCAUGCAUACAUCCUUUAACAAGUGAUAUAUAUAUAUAAAAGAAACUAAACGGUGCAUGAAAGGAUUCUGGGUACCUUUGCCGAGCGGCAGAGCAGCGAGGACGCCGAGAAGAGCCAGAGUGACGACGAGUAUCAGCUGAGGCCUCAUCUUUGUUACUGUGUCCCGGCAAGAACAGGCCUGAAUUUAUGCCAAGUUUUUUGCUUGGAUUUCUUUGCUACGUGUAUGUAUAUUCUCGCGGCUAUAUGAUGUGUAUGGUCGAGGCUGGAGGUCUUGUUAUAUAUAGCAUAGCAGGGGAUGGAGGUCCAGCGUGCCUAGAGAUGUCAAUCCCCACACGAUCGAAUAUAUAAAAUUCCACUACUAGCUAGGCGGCGGCAAGUGCCACAACUUUGCACUCCCAUGCGAUGCGACACGGUCUGGAUGAGUUUCCAAGCGCGCGCACGUUCCAUUCGUAUUUUUCUCAUUCCAUCAUGCAAUGCACAUGCCACCUGCGAGGGCGAUGGACGCCACCCGUCGACCUUUCCAAAAUAUUUUGUAAAAUUUUUCAAAUUUCUUGUCACAUCGAAUCUUACGACACAUGUACAAAGCAUUAAAUAUAGAUAAAAUAAUAACUAAUUACAUAGUUUGUCUGUAAUUUGCGAGACGACGAAUCUUUUGAGCCUAGUGAGUCAAUAAUUAGAUAAUAUUUAUUAAAUAUAAACGAAAAUGCUACAAUAACAAUUUUGGCAAAAAUUUUGAGAGUUAACAAGGCCCUGCUUGGUUGACCGAGUGCAGGGAUGACGCAGUGUACAUGUGUCUGGGAUCCUUUCAUAUACAUAUAUAGAGCAUUAAUUAUAGAUAAAAAAUAACUAAAUAUAUAUUUUGUUUAUAAUUUAGGAGACGAAUCUUUUGAGUCUAGGUAGUCAAUGAUUAGAUAAGUGUUUAUUUUGUUAAAAAAUUUGGAAUUAAACAAGGCGCUGGUUGGUUGAUCGAGUGCAUCAGUGCACAUGUGUCUGGAGAUACUUCCUGGAUGUCCUCUCUAUUUGCCUAUUUGCCUAGUCAUUUCAGGUGGGAACGGGAGCCCAGCACGGUCAGCAUGCAUGUGCUCAGUCCUCGCCUUGCCACCUGGAACGAAGGCCUUGUUUAGUUUUCUCCAAAACUCAAAAACUUUUCAAGUUUUCGUGUUAUAUUGAAUUUUACGGCUGCAUUAAAUAUUAACGAAAACAAAAACUAGUUAUACAAUUUAUCUAUAAAUUACGAAACGAAUCUUUUAAGCCUAUUUAGUCUAUGAUUAGACAAUAAUUACCAAAUACAAACAAAAAUGUUACAAUAUUUUAAAUUUUUCCCCCACUCAACUGAACAAGGCCGAGCUGAUUGUUGACCGUGGAGCCAUGGAGCUGGCGUCUCAACAGUACUGUACGAAAUUAGCAGCUAUAUUUUUUUAAGAUAAAGGAUAGAAACUAUCCGGCUUCAUCUACCCAUAGGUAGAAUCAGGCCAAAUUAAUACAACGGGAGAAAAAAAGAAGAUAAAUAACGGAAAAAUUACAUCCCCAACAAGGGCUCAAGUAGUCCUAGGCAACAAACCGUCUUGAUCCAAGAUGUCAACUCCUAUGGAAUACGAUCGCCAGCGUCAAGACAAAGUCGUCGAAACACGUUUGUCACACCUUAAAAAAGAUAGUGAAAACGUUGGACACCGACCACCAUUGACGAUUGGAUGCUUCUUCCAAGGCAACAGCGCAAAGAACUUGGAACAGAGACGGACCUGCCAUCCAAACUCCAAGCAGUUAUACCAAUGAACACCUCCUCCGACAAGAACAGCACGACGGAGAGACGUGGUUCCCGGCCAUGACGAACAACCACUUCGACGACGAGCCAACACGUCGCCGCCGGCCUGGAGAAACCAGGCUAGGUUUUCACCAAGUUGUUGGACGACCACAACCGCUACAGCUCCAGCGACACCUUCAACAAGGUGAGUAGCACCGUCAGUACCACCGUCGCCGGCCCGGCGUAAUGCCAGGUAGGGUUUUCACCCAAACUGCAGCCAGACGAAGAUCGCUGCGUGCCUGGGACUGGCACCCGCCGGAUCUGGGACGCCCAUCGGAUCCCAGUGGACUCAGGGCCCCGAAUCUAGGAGGUGCACCGCCGACUUCCAGGCAGCGCCGCGCAGACGCCCACCCCGGCGCUAGCAGUAGGACCCCACUCGGAGAGAGCGGAUCCAUGUCUCCUAGCACUGGAUCUCGCCAGGCACGGGGACGUCAUCUCUCCACCUCAGGUGCCAUGGAGGCAGAUGGACAGAAAACGAAAAAGACGACGCACGAAACUGCACUACCGCCAGGAUCGACGAGAUCCAUCCCGCACGGAGGAGCUUGCAGAAUUCCUGGAGAACACCUCGCCGCCGCCAUCACAGAGGGUCGCGCGGGCCUCCCGGCGUUCCUCUCCGGCAGCAGCGAGGGGAGGGAAGACGGGGUGGGAGGGUGUGGCGGCUGCUAGGGUUUGGGAAGACGGGGUGGAAGACGAGGAAUAUAACUCUUAUAAAGCAAAACUCUAAUAUCUAUUUCUCUUGACAUCCAAUGCAUCCACCUCAGCAGUUCACUAUUAACUCCACUAUCUAUUUUUCUUAAAAUGCAAAGCGUCCACCUCAGCAGUCUACUAUCAUUCGCUACUAUAAAUUUCUCUUGACAUGCAAAAUGUCCACCACAACAAUCUACUAUCAUUUGCAUUAAAUUUUACUAGCACAAAAAUUAUGACAUCCACAUUAGUGAAACACAUCAUCCACUAUGAAUAUAAUUUCUAUGAUUAUGCUAAUAAAGGAGUUAUAUAUUUAUAUUCCUCCUUCAUGCCCGCGGCAACGCGCGGAGAAUCCUCCUAGUUUUAUAUAUAACCAUGUCAUUGUCACUUCAUUACAGAGUCUCACAUGUAAAUGAUUUUUAUUCUUUUUCUCUCGUUCUUUAUGAGCAGGCCACAAACUAUCUCGUUUUUCAGAGCGAGAUAGGUGUAGAAAUAAGAGAUAGUCUCUUCACUUUUCCAUCUUCUUUCUUUUUCACAUCAGACGAGAUAGGUAUAGAGAUAAGAGAUAGGCUCUUCUCUUUUUCAUCUUCUCGCUUUUUCACAUCAGAAAAGUGCUCACAUGAAUUGUUAUGAGCCAGUUAAUGUGGCACUGUUGGUACACCUGGAGCAGCACCAAUGGAGAGGGCAGCAAAGUGUAGCCUUUAGCUCACAUAGGAGAGCAGAGCUGGUUGGGCGAUUGGUAGCUGUGGGGUUAACUUGAGCUUCAACUUGGUGCAUGGAGAUCUCACAAAUUUUUGUCAUCCAAGGGACAUGGAUAUCAAAAAGGAUUUGCUGAUUGUUCCUAUUUUUCGAAGCAGAUAAAAUUCUACUUUCAUGAAUCUGACAGUCGAGAGUAUUGUGAGAAAAACUUGCACAGUAAGUGUAAAUCUUGCAGAUUUCCAUAUAAUGGACAACUUUACUAGUACUCUUUAACAAACGAGCAGUGUUUUCAGCUCAUAUUAAAUCAGCAUAAGAAUGAACAUAAGCUAAUUUUUUUAUGAAAUAAGCAUAAACAUAAAUCAAAUUUCAGUGAAACGAGCAGCAAGUUGUGGCAAUACAAGUACAACAAAGGUAACCAAGAUAUUGUCAUGACUCGACACGAUACCAGUGCUUUGAGCAUAUAGCAGCUUCAUCACGAAUGGCUCUUUAUUCCAGAAACAGUACUAAUAAUACACUGACGGACGACGUACAAUAGCAAGCAUCGAGCUGAGCGGCGACAUUUAUUCUAUUUCUUCUCUCAGACAAAGCUCGAGAGAAGCAAACUUGACUUGCCAUAUGGAUGCUUGUAGCAGAUUUGCAUCAGAAGCCACCACCCAGGAACGCCGCCUCCGGCGGCGGCGCCGCGUGCAGCGUUCUUGCAGAAGUUUGUGAGGAUGUCAUCGCAGCGGUAGGUAACGACGGGGCCGUGGCCGCUGCCGGGAGGAAUCCCUGCACCAACCUUGACGCAUAUCUUGCACUCCGGGUGGCACCCCUGCACCGAGACAUCCUUGCACUUGCAAUCCCGCGGGAGCCACUAGUACAGAGACAGACUAUACAGGCGGUUGGUAACCUAUUUCUACUGGCGUUUUUCAGCACCGCCUGUGCUAGAGGCCAGUAGAAAUGGGCCAAUUUCAUGGCGGUUCCUUAUGAGCCGCUUGUAGAAAACAUUUCCACAGGCGGCUCUCUUUGGUAACCGUCUGUGGAAUUUUUUUUAUAGAAAAUAUGAAAUCGCGUUUUUAAAAACAGGGAAAAAAGAUUUAAUUUUAGGGAAGGCCUACUGGCUAGUCGACCGCUUCGCAGCCCCCAAGUCGCGCAUUUUUUCACGUAAAAUCGCAUGCUACGCGGCCGCUAGUGGGAUUCGAACCUAACACCUCGCCCUCGCGCGUAACGUCCUCUACCACUCCACAUAUCACUCAGAUGUGUCUAUAUUAGAGUUUUGUUCACCAUAUAUUAUCCUAAACUCAGCAUACAUUGAUUAUUUGAGGCCUUAAACAUAUUCAAAUAGAAAAGUUGUCAACUACAAACUUUGAUAACUUUUCAAGAUCUACAACUUUUAUAUUGGUAGUUUCUCCAUCCGAUGUCAUUUAUAAAAUUUGAAUUUCAAAUUUGAGAAAUUCAAACGUUGUUUUCGACGACAAGAUGAUCUCAAAUGAAAAAAAUUAUCAACUAUAAAAUUUCAUAACUUUUUGAGAUCUACAACUUUCAUUUUGACAGUUUUUUCAAACGAGGUCAUUUAAAAAGCUCAAAAAAUUCAAUUUCAAAUUAUUUUUAUAGGCGAUUUUCUUAAGCAACCGUCUGUAGAAAUAUGAUUUUUAGUGGCGGUUCCUUAGGACAACCGCAUGUAGAAAUACAUGAUUUCUACAUGUGGUUUUCUUAAGCAACUGCCUGUAGAAAUAUAAUUUUUAGUGGCGGUUCCUUAGGAAAACCGCAUGUACAAAUGCAUGAUUUCUACAGGCGGUUUUGUUAGAAAAACCGCAUGUAAAAAUACAUCUUCACAUACGGUUGGUAGUUCUGACACCGCCCUUUUUAUACCACAGGCGCGUGAUAACUAAAACCGCCUGUGAUAUAAAAAGGGGCGUCAGCGUUGUACUAUUUUCUACUAGUGAGCUUCCUGUCACAAACACCACAUAUGUCGCAGCAUGACCACAACGACCCUUGUGUGCCACUACUACGGAACGCUCUAUCACUAUCGGUGACAUCACAGUUAGAAAUGACAGAAUCGACAGUGAUGAGUCUUCACUGUCGGUUCAAAGCUUUGAGAGGCUUCGAAUGAUUGAAAAGGGGAAGAGCCGACAGUGAUGGACAACAUCACUGCCGGUUUGUUACUAGGACCUACAGUGUUGCCUUCUUCAUCUUUCACUGUCGGUCCGACACCUGAGCUAGCAAUGAUAUUGGGAUAUCACUGACGGCUCGUGUCGCCAACUGCCAGUGAUAUCCCCUGACAGCACAAAAAGCCUGCAGGCUUCCUCUGCUUCCGCCUCACUCCCAUCACGAGAACAUAGGAGCUUGCACGUGCCAUUCCCUCCAUUGUUACGGCUGCUCUUCCCCAUGACUCUCUCUUUUGGAUUUUGAAGAAUGGCUUGAUCUUUUUACUUUAAGGUUAGUAAGGGCAUCCACUUCAUCGAUUUUGGUGCUUAAUUAUCUUAGUUUGAAGGCUACAUUGCUUGAUUCUCAUUCUAGUUCUUCCUCCAUCCGAGAGAGCAAGCCAUUGGAUUUUGUGCAAAGCUCCCAAGCAAUUUGUGAGGAAUAUAUACAUCAUCUCCAUCAUCCAUAAAAGCUACAUGUUUUUGUCUAUAUAUCAUGACCUCAUUUGAAAUCUUUGGAAAUUUCAUGGUUUGAUCAAGAUGCAUGAUUGUUAGUAUGUGAUGCUCGAAUUAGUUCAUAUUAUUUAGGAGUAGAGUAGAUUAUUUUACAAUUUUGUUAGGAGUUGACACAUUGUUUGGUGUUCAUGAUCAAGUAUCCAAUUAAUUUUGUUCAUAAUCAAGAUGAUUGACAGUGUUCGGCAAGAAGCUUAGAGUUGUCGAACAAUGGUUGAUAUUCAUAUAUCGGCCAAAGAAAAAGUAGCCAAAUGCAUGCAUCACAUUUAGAGCAAAAGCAGGCGAUGGAGUAAACAACAUUGCUCUCAUCAUUGUUAUGUCUUUCCAAACUCACAUAUAUGCUUUGUUUAAAAACAUAAGAACAUAUGUUAAUAACGAAAUAUGAUCAGUCAUUCAGCAAUAUUUUUCCUCUCAGAAUAAAUUAGUAAAGAGUAAUUUCAUUUAUGACUCUUGUAUUGUCAUGACUCGACACCAUAACACGGUGCUUUGAGCAUAGUGUGCAUCAUUCAUGGCUCUUUAUUCCAGAAACAGUACUAAUACACUGACCACGUACAAGAGCACAAACAAGCAUAUCGAGCAGAGCAGCGACAUUUAUUUUAUUUCUUACAUUAAUUUAUUUUAUUUCUUCUCUCAGACGAAGCUCGAGAGGAAGCAAACUCGAUCGACUUGUCGCAUGCAUGCCAUCAGAAGCCCCUACCCAGGAACGCCGCCUCCGGCGCCGGCGCCGGCGCCGGCGCUGGCGUGCAGCGCUGCUCGCAGAAGUUUGUGAGAACGUCAUCGCAGCGGUAGGUGACGACGGGGCCAGAGCCGACCAUGACGCAGUUCUUGCACUCCGGGUGGCACCCGUCCACCGAGACGUCAUCGCACUGGCAGUCCGGCGGCAGCUGCCUGUCACAAAAACCGCAGUUGUCGCAGCACGGCCACGACGAGCCUGGUUUCCACCCGGUGUGGCCGUACAUGUUUAGUAAAAAAUGUCAAGUGUGCAUGCAUACAUCCUUUAACAAGUGAUAUAUAUAUAUAAAAGAAACUAAACGGUGCAUGAAAGGAUUCUGGGUACCUUUGCCGAGCGGCAGAGCAGCGAGGACGCCGAGAAGAGCCAGAGUGACGACGAGUAUCAGCUGAGGCCUCAUCUUUGUUACUGUGUCCCGGCAAGAACAGGCCUGAAUUUAUGCCAAGUUUUUUGCUUGGAUUUCUUUGCUACGUGUAUGUAUAUUCUCGCGGCUAUAUGAUGUGUAUGGUCGAGGCUGGAGGUCUUGUUAUAUAUAGCAUAGCAGGGGAUGGAGGGCGCGCGGCUUCCAGCGUGCCUAGAGACGUCAAUCCCCACACGAUCGAAUAUAUAAAAUUCCACUACUAGCUAGGCGGCGGCAAGUGCCACAACUUUGCACUCCCGUGCGAUGCGACACGGUCUGGAUGAGUUUCCAAGCGCGCGCACGUUCCAUUCGUAUUUUUCUCAUUCCAUCAUGCAAUGCACAUGCCACCUGCGAGGGCGAUCUUUUGAGCCUAGUGAGUCAAUAAUUAAUUACAUAGUUUGUUUGUAAUUUGCGAGACGACGAAUCUUUUGAGCCUAGUGAGUCAAUAAUUAGAUAAUAUUUAUUAAAUAUAAACGAAAAUGUUACAAUAUCGAUUUUGCCAAAAAUUUGGAAGUAAACGAGACCCUGCUUGGUUGACUGAGUGCAGGGGUGACGCAGUGCACAUGUGUCUAGGGAUCUUUUUAUAUAUAUAGAGCAUUAAUUAUAGAUAAAAAAUAACUAAUUGUAUAGUUUGCUUAUAAUUUGAGAGACGAAUCUUUUGAGUCUAUGUAGUCUAUGAUUAGAUAAGUGUUCAUUUUGUAAAAGAAAAUUGGAAUUCAACAAGCCGCUAGUUGGUUGACCGAGUGCAUCAGUGCACAUGUGUCUGGAGAUACUUCCUGGAUGUCCUCUCUAUGUGCCUAGUCAUCUCAGGUGGGAACGGGAGCCCAGCACGGUCAGCAUGCAUGUGCUCAGUCCUCGCCUUGCCACCUCGAACGAAGGCCUUGUUUAGUUUUCUCCGAAACUCAAAAACUUUUUCAAGAUUUCCUGUUAUAUUGAAUUUUGCGACAUAUGAAUGGAGCAUUAAAUAUAGAUAAAAAUAAAAACUAAUUAUACAAUUUAUCUAUAAAUUACGAGAUGAAUAUUUUAAGCCUAUUUAAUCUAUGAUUGGACAAUAAUUACCAAAUACAAACAAAAAUACUACAGUAUUCAAAUAUUUUCUCUCCAGGCCUUGUUUAGUUCCAAAAUUUUUGGCAAAAUGACCACUGUAGCAAUUUCGUUUGUAUUUGACAAAUAUUGUUCAAUCAUGGACUAACUAGACUCAAAAGAUUCGUCUCGUCAAUUCCGACUAAACUGUGCAAUUAGUUUUUAUUUUUAUCUAUAUUUAAUACUCCAUGCAUACGUCUAAAGAUUCGAUGUGACGGGGAAUCUGAAAAAUUUUGCAAAAUUUUUGGGAAACUAAACAAGGCCCCACUCAACUAAACAAGGCCGAGCUGAUUGACCGUGGAGCCAUGGAGCUGGCGUCUCAACUAUCUAUAACUCUUAUAAAAGCAAAACUCCACUAUCACUACUACAGAAUGAGGCAUUGGUCGAUGUCCAAAAUGGCCCAAAACCUCGGCCUUUUUACGGCCCGGGGUUAAAGACCCCUUUAACACCGGUUCGUAACACGAACCGGUGCUAAAGGGUCCUGGCCAACGGCUACUGACAGGUGUUGUCGGGGCAGGGACCCUUUAGCACCGGUUCGUGUUACAAACUGGUGCUAAAGGGUCUCUUUGAGCACCGGCCAGUGCCACGGGCCGAGGCAAAGCCUUUAGCACCGGUUUGUAACACAAACCGGUGCUAAAGGGUCACCCUUUAGCACCGGUUUUUGCCAUGAACCGGUGCUAAAGGUCCGGUUUAUAUGCCGGAUCCCUCCUUCUCUCUGCCCAUUUGAAACCGAGAGCAACAUUCACCAUAUCUAUUUCUCUUGACAUACAAUGCACCUACCUCAGCAGUUCACUAUCAACCCCACUAUCUAUUUCUCUUAAAAUGUAAAGCAUCCAUCUCAGCAGUCCACUAUCAUUCGCCACUACAAAUUUCUCUUGACAUGCAAGGUGUCCACCACAGCAAUCUACUAUCAUUUGCAUUAAAUUUCACUAGCACAAGAAUUAUGACAUCCACAGGGACGAAGCCAGGAAAAAAUUUAGGGGAGCUGAACAAAAGUUCUACAUCGACUUAGCUCUGCUAUUAUCCCUCUUAAAUAUAUAUUAAUGAUGAAGUUUACAAAAUAUAUCUAAAAAAUAAAGUUCUCAACUCACCCUACCUUAUAAAUUUGUGUCUAAAAUUAGAAGGAGGGCACUAGGAAUUCCACUGGGCCAGCAGCGGUAGGGGGGGCUGGAGCCCCCCUAGCCCCACUGCUGGCUUCGUCCCUGGACGUCCACAUUAGUGAGACACAUCAUCCACUAUGAAUAUAAUUUCUAUGAUUAUGCUAAUAAAAGAGUUAUAUAUUUAUAUUGCUCCUUCAUACCCGCGGCAACGCGCGGAGAAUCCUCCUAGUUUUAUAUAUAACCAUGUCAUUGUCACUUCAUUACGGAGUCUCACAUGUAAAUGAUUUUUAUUCUUCUUCUCUCGUUCUUUAUGAGCAGGCCACAAACUAUCUCGUUUUUCUGAGCGAGAUAGGUGUAGAGAUAAGAGAUAGUCUCUUCUCUUUUCCAUCUUCUUUCUUUUUCACAUCAGAUGAGAUAGGUAUAGAGAUAAGAGAUAGUCUCUUCUCUUUUCCAUCUUCUCUCUUUUUCACAUAAGAAAAGUGCUCACAUGAAUUGUUAUGAGCCAGUUAAUGUGGCACUGUUGGUACACCUGGAGCAGCACCAAUGGAGAGGGCAGCAAAGUGUAGCCUUUAGCUCACAUAGGAGAGCAGACCUGGUUGGGCGAUUGGUAGCUGUGGAGUUAACUUGAGCGUCGACAUGGUGCAUGGAGAUCUCACAAAUUUGUGUCAUCCAAGGGAUAUGGACAUAAAAAAGGAUUUGCUGAUUGUUCCUAUUUUUCAAAGCAGAUAAAAUUCUACUUUCAAGAAUCUGACAGUUGAGAGUAUUGUGAGAGAAACUUGCACAGUAAGUGUAAAUCUUGCUGAUUUUCAUGUGACGUACAACUUUACUAGUACUUUUCAACAAACGAGCAUUGUUUUCAGCUCAUAAUAAAUCACUAUAAGAAUGAACAUAAGCUAAAAUUUUAAUGAAAUAAGCAUAAACAUAAACCAAAUUUCAGUGCAACGAGCAGGAAGCUGUGGGCAAUACAAGUACAACAAGGUAACCAAGAUAUUGUCACGACACGAUACCAGUGCUUUGAGCAUAUUGCAGCUUCAUCCUGAAUGGCUAUUUAUUCCAGAAACAAUACUAAUAAUACACUGACUGACGAUACAAUAGCAAGCAUCGAGCUGAGCGGCGACAUUUAUUCUAUUUCUUCUCUCAGACGAAGCUCGAGAAGCAAACUAGACUUGCCAUAUGGAUGCUUGUAGCAGAUUGGCAUCAGAAGCCACCACCCAGGAACGCCGCCUCCGCGGCGGUGGUGCGUGCAGCGUUAUUGUAGAAGUUUGUGAGGAUGUCAUCGCAGCGGUAGGUGACGACGGGGCCAUGGCCGCCGUUGGGAUGAAUCCCUGCACCGACCUUGAUGCAAAUCUUGCACUCCGGGUGGCACCCCUGCACCGAGACAUCCUUGCACUUGCAGUCCGGCGGGAGCUU